GGUCAAUAGCCUAACGGCUGAACCAGCCAUUUGGCUGAAUGUAAAAAAGCCUUGUAUUAUUUAUGUAAAUGGUAAUACAAUACGACUUAACAGACUAUGUCUUAUUAAGUUCUAAAUAAUAAGCUGAUAAUGACUAUUUAUUAUUUAAAAGUCUUGACAAAAUCUUGUGCCAGCAGUCGCGGCAAUACAAGUAAGACAAGUGUUAUUCAUCUUUAUUAGGUUUAAAAGGUACCUAGAUUGCAAUCAUAGCCUUAUAAAGGGACAAGAUAUGCUAGAGUUUUAUGUGAAAGGUAGAUGUUAGAGCUGCAAGUGUAGAGAUGAAAUAUGUUGAUACGGGCAGAAAUGAUAACGGUAAAUACAGACCUUAAUGUAAAAACUGACAUUGAGGGACGAAGGCCUGGGUAGCGAAUAGGAUUAGAGACCCUAGUAGUCCAGGCAGUAAAUUAUGAGUGUCAUAUGUUAUAUUAAUAUAGUGUAUAAAUUAAAGUGUAAGCAUUCUACCUUAAGAGUAAUGCGGCAACGCAGGAACUGAAAUCAUUAGACCGUUUCUGAAACCAGUAGUGAAGUAUGUUAUUUAAUUCGAUAACCCUCGAAUAACCUUACCACAAUUUGAAUAUUAUUUGUAUAUUUUAGUUCACUAUAUUUUUAUAUACUUUUUUGAUGUACUAUACUAUAUCAAAUAUAAGCUAAGUCAUAUAUGUAUUAAUACAGGUGUUGCACGGUUGUCUUUAGCUAAUGUCGUGAGACUGUGAUUAGAUUCAUUAAAUUAGCGUAAACCCUUGUUUUAUUUAUUAACUAUAAAACAGAAUGGUGCAGAUGUAUUGCAUAUAUAAUAAUAGGGAUUAAGACAAAUCAUCAUGACCUUAAUAUUGUG
rnacentral:rRNA from 2 species